UGGGUUGGAAACCUUCCGAAUCCUCCAGAGAUGGAGGAGCGCCCUUCGGGGAAUGGGAUGUUCAGGUGCUGCAUGGCUGUCGUCAGCUCGUGUCGUGAGAUGUUGGGUUAAGUCCCGCAACGAGCGCAACCCUUGUCUUUAGUUGCCAUCAGUUAGGCUGGGCACUCUAGAGAGACUGCCGGUGUUAAACCGGAGGAAGGUGGGGAUGACGUCAAGUCCUCAUGGCCCCUAUGUCCAGGGCUACACACGUGCUACAAUGGCGGCCACAAAGGGCAGCAACAUCGCGAGAUGAAGCCAAUCCCAAAAAAGCCGCCUCAGUUCGGAUUGGAGUCUGCAACUCGACUCCAUGAAGC
rnacentral:rRNA from 1 species